UACGAAGGGGGCGAGCGUUGUUCGGAUUUACUGGGCGUAAAGGGCGCGCAGGCGGCUUAUCAAGUCAGGCGUGAAAGCCCCGGGCUUAACCUGGGAACUGCGUUUGGGAGCUGGAGGGCUGAGAGAUCGGGAGAGGGAGAGUGGAAUUCCCAGUGUAGAGGUGAAAUUCGUAGAUAUUCGGAAGAACACCAGUGGCGGAAGGCGGCUCACGUGGACCGGCAUUGACGCUGAGGUGCGAAAGCGUGGGGAGCAAACAGG
rnacentral:rRNA from 1 species